GAUGAACGCUAGCGGCAGGCCUAACACAUGCAAGUCGAGGGGUAGAAUUAGCUUGCUAAUUUGAGACCGGCGCACGGGUGCGUAACGCGUAUGCAAUCUACCUUGUACAGGGGGAUAGCCCAGAGAAAUUUGGAUUAAUACCCCAUGGUAUAAUUAAUUUGCAUGAAUUGAUUAUUAAAGUUCCAACGGUACAAGAUGAGCAUGCGUCCCAUUAGCUAGUUGGUGUGGUAACGGCAUACCAAGGCGACGAUGGGUAGGGGUCCUGAGAGGGAGAUCCCCCACACUGGUACUGAGACACGGACCAGACUCCUACGGGAGGCAGCAGUGAGGAAUAUUGGUCAAUGGUCGGAAGACUGAACCAGCCAUGCCGCGUGCAGGAAGACGGCCUUAUGGGUUGUAAACUUCUUUACUAUGCGACUAACUAGAUUUACGAGAUAAUUCUAUAGAAUGUAGCAUAGCAAAAAGCACCGGCUAACUCCGUGCCAGCAGCCG
rnacentral:rRNA from 1 species